rnacentral:rRNA from 1 species
UACGGAGGGGACUAGCGUUGUUCGGAAUUACUGGGCGUAAAGCGCACGUAGGCGGAUUUGUAAGUCAGGGGUGAAAUCCCGGGGCUCAACCCCGGAACUGCCUUUGAUACUGCGAAUCUCGAGUCCGGAAGAGGUGAGUGGAAUUCCUAGUGUAGAGGUGAAAUUCGCAGAUAUCAGGAGGAACACCAAUAGCGAAGGCAGCUCGCUGGGACGGUACUGACGCUAAGGCGCGAAAGCGUGGGGAGCGAACAGG